AGGCGCCAAACUUUUCCUUCUUGGACACGCUGCAACCCGUGAAUCCAGGGCCAGCUCGUGACGUGUGAAAAGCCAGGAACACAAAAGACUGUGUCGUCGAACUCUUUCACAGGGUUCUUGAAAUAAUCCUUGGCUUCCUUGAGGACCCUUGAGGCAAUCGGUACCCAUCAGGACACAUUAGUCACAUUGAUUCAUUCAUAAAUCCACUCAUCAGUCCUUUGUUUGAGGCUCAGACUGCCCCCUUGCUCCUGAUUGGUCAAGAGACCGAACUGGUCUGGCUCUCUGAUUGGACAAAGCGUUCGCACCUCUCCUCCAGCUGAUGAAGACGACCAAUCAGCAAGAAGCCAGCUGAAGGGGUGGGCGUGGGAAAUUCAAACCUCGCCGCCCCGUUUCUUUGCUAUAAAGUGUACUGUAAGCUAUUGUAUGUCAUGUCUUCUUGACGAAUGAUUGUGGUUGACAUCCUUUCCAGCUGGAUCGCAUUAAACAUCUCGGUGGUUCUA